rnacentral:rRNA from 1 species
CAGUAGCCGCGGGAAUACGUAGGGUGCAAGCGUUAAUCGGAAUUACUGGGCGUAAAGCGUGCGCAGGCGGUUAUAUAAGACAGAUGUGAAAUCCCCGGGCUCAACCUGGGAACUGCAUUUGUGACUGUAUAGCUAGAGUACGGCAGAGGGGGAUGGAAUUCCGCGUGUAGCAGUGAAAUGCGUAGGUAUGCGGAGGAACACCGAUGGUGAAGGCAAUCCCCUGGGCCUGCACUGACGCUCAUGCACGAAAGCGUGGGGAGCAAACAGGAUUAGAUACCCGCGUAGUCCCUGUCUCUUAUAC